rnacentral:piRNA from 1 species
UCUGCCAUGUGUGAACACAGCUGUAUAGC